ACGCUGGCGGCGUGCUUAACACAUGCAAGUUGAACGAUGAAGCCUAGCUUGCUAGGUGGAUUAGUGGCGAACGGGUGAGUAAUACGUGAGUAACCUACCUUUAACUCUGGGAUAAGCCUGGGAAACUGGGUCUAAUACCGGAUACGACCAAUCUCCGCAUGGGGUGUUGGUGGAAAGCGUUAUGUAGUGGUUAUAGAUGGGCUCACGGCCUAUCAGCUUGUUGGUGAGGUAACGGCUCACCAAGGCGACGACGGGUAGCCGGCCUGAGAGGGUGACCGGCCACACUGGGACUGAGACACGGCCCAGACUCCUACGGGAGGCAGCAGUGGGGAAUAUUGCACAAUGGGCGCAAGCCUGAUGCAGCGACGCCGCGUGAGGGAUGACGGCCUUCGGGUUGUAAACCUCUGUUGGCAGGGAAGAAGAGAGAUUGACGGUACCUGCAGAGAAAGCGCCGGCUAACUACGUGCCAGCAGCCGCGGUAAUACGUAGGGCGCGAGCGUUGUCCGUAAUUAUUGGGCGUAAAGAGCUUGUAGGCGGUUUGUCGCGUCUGCUGUGAAAGGCCGGAGCUUAACUCCGUGUAUUGCAGUGGGUACGGGCAGACUAGAGUGCAGUAGGGGAGACUGGAAUUCCUGGUGUAGCGGUGGAAUGCGCAGAUAUCAGGAGGAACACCGAUGGCGAAGGCAGGUCUCUGGGCUGUAACUGACGCUGAGAAGCGAAAGCAUGGGGAGCGAACAGGAUUAGAUACCCUGGUAGUCCAUGCCGUAAACGUUGGGCACUAGGUGUGGGGAACAUUCCACGUUUUCCGCGCCGUAGCUAACGCAUUAAGUGCCCCGCCUGGGGAGUACGGCCGCAAGGCUAAAACUCAAAGAAAUUGACGGGGGCCCGCACAAGCGGCGGAGCAUGCGGAUUA
rnacentral:rRNA from 1 species